CCGAGGGGUCACUGAGAAAACGGAAGG
rnacentral:piRNA from 1 species